rnacentral:rRNA from 1 species
GAUGAACGCUGGCGGCGUGCCUAAUACAUGCAAGUCGAGCGAACAGACGAGGAGCUUGCUCCUCUGACGUUAGCGGCGGACGGGUGAGUAACACGUGUAUAACCUACCUAUAAGACUGGGAUAACUUCGGGAAACCGGAGCUAAUACCGGAUAAUAUAUUGAACCGCAUGGUUCAAUAGUGAAAGACGGUUUUGCUGUCACUUCUAGAUGGAUCCGGGCCGCAUUAGCUAGUUGGUAAGGUAACGGCUUACCAAGGCAACGAUGCGUAGCCGACCUGAGAGAGGGGUAGCCGACAUUGGAACGGGAACGGGGACAAGAGUCCUACGGGAGGGCGCAGAAGGGAAUGGGCGGCAGUGGGCGGAAACAUGACGGAAUAGGGCGGAGUGAGUGACAACAACGUUGGGUGCGGAAAACCGGCUUUCGGGGGAUAAACAGCUGUCGAAGGAAAUGUACCGGGAGUGACGGUAACUAAUAAAAAAGCAACGGCUAACUACGUG